rnacentral:rRNA from 1 species
AGCAGCCAUCCUUUAAAGAAAGCGUAACAGCUCACUGGUCUAAAUAAGGGGUUCCGCGCCGAAAAUGUACCGGGGCUCAAGCCAUACACCGAAACUGCGGGUGCAUCUUAUGAUGCGCGGUAGCGGAGCGUUCUGUAAGUCUGCGAAGGGGGACCCGUGAGGGCUCCUGGAGAUAUCAGAAGUGCGAAUGUUGACAUGAGUAACGAUAAAGGGAGUGAGAGACUCCCUCGCCGAAAGACCAAGGGUUCCUGCUUAAAGUUAAUCUGAGCAGGGUGAGCCGGCCCCUAAGGCGAGGCCGAAAGGCGUAGUCGA